CCUACGGGAGGCAGCAGUAAGGAAUAUUGGUCAAUGGACGAAAGUCUGAACCAGCCAUGCCGCGUGAAGGAUGAAGGCCCUCUGGGUUGUAAACUUCUUUUAUCUGGGACGAAAAAAGGGAAUUCUUUCCCACUUGACGGUACCAGAGGAAUAAGCACCGGCUAACUCCGUGCCAGCAGCCGCGGUAAUACGGAGGGUGCAAGCGUUAUCCGGAUUUACUGGGUUUAAAGGGUGCGUAGGUGGGUAGGUAAGUCAGUGGUGAAAUCUCCGAGCUUAACUCGGAAACUGCCAUUGAUACUAUCUAUCUUGAAUAUCCUGGAGGUGAGCGGAAUAUGUCAUGUAGCGGUGAAAUGCUUAGAUAUGACAUAGAACACCAAUUGCGAAGGCAGCUCACUACGGGAUUAUUGACACUGAGGCACGAAAGCGUGGGGAUCAAACAGGAUUAGAUACCCUGGUAGUCCACGCCCUAAACGAUGGAUACUCGACAUACGCGAUACACUGUGUGUGUCUGNGNGAGANAUAGUAUCCACCGNGGAGAGUAAGUGNGAGAGUAGUUAAGUUACGAAGAGUUAGUUAGCGNGNGAGAGCGACGACGACGACGACGGAGGAGGAGG
rnacentral:rRNA from 1 species